AUUGAACGCUGGCGGCAGGCCUAACACAUGCAAGUCGAACGGUAACAGGAAGCAGCUUGCUGCUUUGCUGACGAGUGGCGGACGGGUGAGUCAUGUCUGGGAAACUGCCCGCUGGAGGGGGAUAACUACUGGAAACGGUAGAUAAUACCGCAUAACGUCGCAAGACCAAAGAGGGGGACCUUAGGGCCUCUUGCCAUCGGAUGCGCCCAGAUGGGAUUCGCUAGUAGGUGGGGUAACGGCUCACCUAGGCGACGAUCCCUAGCUGGUCUGAGAGGAUGACCGGCCACACGGGAACUGAGACACGGUCCAGACUCCUACGGGAGGCAGCAGUGGGGAAUAUUGCGCAAUGGGCGCAAGCCUGAUGCAGCCAUGCCGCGUGUAUGAAGAAGGCCUUCGGUUUGUAAAGUACUUUCAGCGGGGAGGAAGGGAGUAAAGUUAAUACCUUUGCUCAUUGACGUUACCCGCAGAAGAAGCACCGGCUAACUCCGUG
rnacentral:rRNA from 1 species